rnacentral:lncRNA from 1 species
AUGCUGAGGAAUGCUUCCUCUGGGGUUUCGACCGGCACGGCUAUUUGUCAUGGCCUCAGAAGCUGCUUGGCUACAGAGACCUGGAAGCUUGGGGAUCUCAAGAUACACCUUGACCAGUGGAGUCUGUCUGAGCCUUGUGUAACCUUGUCACGAUGUACCAGUUUAGUGGAUGAGGUCAUUCAAAUCACAGAAAAAAGUCGCCUUCACCUGCCUGUCAGAAUGCAUGGAAAUCACAAAUCUGGGGUCGUACCUGGAUAUCGAGAACAUCGUCUGGGAGCAUUGAACCCUUCCUACCCCUCCCUC